rnacentral:hammerhead_ribozyme from 1 species
AUCCAACUGACGAGUCCCGAAUAGGACGAAAUGCGAGUCCUGGAU